rnacentral:rRNA from 1 species
GACGAACGCUGGCGGCGUGCUCAACACAUGCAAGUCGAACGAUGAAACCUAGCUUGCUAGGUCGAUUAGUGGCGAACGGGUGAGUAACACGUGACUAACCUGCCCCUUUCUCUGGGAUAACGCUCCGAAAGGAGUGCUAAUACCGGAUACUCACAUCGAGGCACAUGCCUUGGUGUGGAAAGUUUUUCGGAAAGGGAUGGAGUCGCGGCCUAUCAGCUUGUUGGUGAGGUAACGGCUCACCAAGGCGACGACAGGUAGCCGGCCUGAGAGGGCAACCGGCCACACUGGGACUGAGACACGGCCCAGACUCCUACGGGAGGCAGCAGUGGGGAAUAUUGCACAAUGGGCGCAAGCCUGAUGCAGCGACGCCGCGUGAGGGAUGAAGGUCUUCGGAUUGUAAACCUCUUUCAGUAGGGACGAAGCGAAAGUGACGGUACCUAAAGAAGAAGCACCGGCUAACUACGUGCCAGCCGCCGCGGUAAAAC